rnacentral:other from 1 species
AUCUGAAGCAUGAAACGACAAGCCUUGUGCCGCAAUUAAAGACGUGAUCGAAGAUAAGUUUCGGCCGAUACCCGUGCUACGCUGACCCGGGAUGCCCAUCGGCAUCUAUUCAGAAUGAGAGAAGUUGAAGGUAUGACACAGGGAACUGUGAAAUGGUUUAACAGCGAAAAAGGCUUCGGCUUUAUCGCUCCGGACGGCGGCGCAGCGGAUGUGUUCGUCCACUACUCGGAAAUCCAGGGCAACGGCUACCGGUCGCUCGAGGACAACCAGCGAGUGGAGUUCAGCAUCGAGCAGGGGGCCAAGGGUCCGCAGGCAGUUAAAGUGACUGCCGUUUAAUCCGACUUAUACGUCAGGUGGGCUGGUGGGGACAUUCCCGCCAGCCCACU